GGGUGAUUAGCUCAGCUGGGAGAGCACCACCCUUACAAGGAGGGGGUCGGCGGUUCGAUCCCGUCAUCACCCACCA
rnacentral:tRNA from 6 species